rnacentral:snRNA from 1 species
GUGCUCGCUUCAGCAGCACAUAUACUAAAAUUAGAACGAUAUAGAGAAGAUUAGCAUGGCCCCUGGGCAAGUAAUAAGUGAAAUAAAAAAAAAAGAACCUGGGCUUC